AUUGAACGCUGGCGGCAUGCCUUACACAUGCAAGUCGAACGGCAGCACGGGAGCAAUCCUGGUGGCGAGUGGCGAACGGGUGAGUAAUAUAUCGGAACGUGCCAGUCGUGGGGAUAACGUAGCGAAAGCUACGCUAAUACCGCAUACCGAUCGUAUGGAGUGAAGCGGGGAUCGCAAGACCUCGCGCGAUUGGAGCGGCCGAUAUCAGAUUAGGUAGUUGGUAGAGGUAAAGGCUCACCAAGCCGACGAUCUGGUAGCUGGUCUGAGAGGA
rnacentral:rRNA from 1 species